CUGGACGGCGUACCUAAUACAUGCAAGUCGAACGCUUUCUUCACCGGAGCUUGCUCCACCGAAAGAAAAGGAGUGGCGAACGGGUGAGUAACACGUGGGUAACCUGCCCAUCAGAAGGGGAUAACACUUGGAAACAGGUGCUAAUACCGUAUAACAAUCGAAACCGCAUGGUUUCGGUUGAAAGGCGCUUUUGCGUCACUGAUGGAUGGACCCGCGGUGCAUUAGCUAGUUGGUGAGGUAACGGCUCACCAAGGCAACGAUGCAUAGCCGACCUGAGAGGGUGAUCGGCCACAUUGGGACUGAGACACGGCCCAAACUCCUACGGGAGGCAGCAGUAGGGAAUCUUCGGCAAUGGACGCAAGUCUGACCGAGCAACGCCGCGUGAGUGAAGUAAAGGUUUUCGGAUCGUAAAACUCUGUUGUUAGAGAAGAACAAGGAUGAGAGUAGAAUGUUCAUCCCUUGACGGUAUCUAACCAGAAAGCCACGGCUAACUACGUGCCAGCCGCUGC
rnacentral:rRNA from 1 species